CCCCACGCCCACACCCCCAUACUCUGCGACCUCGUGUCUAGACCCACCCCCACCUGUGUUCCCACAUCCACGCCCCCCACGCCCUGAGUCCCUGAGUCCAUGCAGCCCGGGUUAGCAGUUCGCUGCUUCUUUCCUGUCAGUCCCUGGGCUUCGCUGAGGCGUUUUGGAAGCUUGCUGUCCCCUCUCGUCGUCUCGCUGGACCAAUUUCAGGAGAAAAGGAAACACUGGAGAAUGAAAUGGGCCAUUGUGCUGACGGCUGCCUGAACUCAUGAAAGAAUGAGCCAAACCACGACGCCCACAAGGGACUUGGCAAAAGGUAGGAGGCCUUAAACCCCCAUUUGAAUGAGGCACCUAAGUAGUGGGACCUUACUAAUGUGCAUACUGCAGGCAGGAGGGACCCUGGAAUAGUGUCCCAUGCUACAACUCUUGAAGAAGCUAAACAGGUGGCACCUCCACUGCCCCAGGUGACUGACAAUGACAGCGACCAAGGGUGAGGCUGCCAAAUCAUCACUGUCUCCCACCUGGAGCUGCGGGUCACUUGGCAGAUGGAAAUCACUACCUGGGAGUCAG
ensembl:lncRNA